CUCUUCCUCCACUGGUGGAGGUACCUCAUCAACAUGUUGAGGCACAGAUGCACCACGCCUCCUUCUCUGCCUUGCAGUUAUCAACUGCAUAAUAGGGACAUCAUCCUGAUCAUCAUCUACCCUAAGAGUAUCAGUUCUUCGUCUAUUCCUCGGCAUUUCCUAAAAUAAAAGAGAGAUCACUUAAGUCAUGCUAGAACAAUAGCAUGAUAAUUAUCUCAGAAUUAUAGGAAAGCAUAUCUAUCACAAGGAAGAAGACAUACUUGAUGAGAAUUUAAAAUUUCAAAAACAACAAACAAGACGAUACGGAUCCUAAUGCUCCACUUAUUAUGAAAUUAAUUAUAUUAUUGUUUCUUUAACCUAAAGCUCUGAUACCAAGUUUGUCACGACCCGAAUCCCGGAUCCAUGACCGGCACAUAGGCAAGGUUCCCCUCCAAGGUUCCAAACCUAUGCGAACCCAAACUUACAUACAAUCCUUUAAACAACUCAAUCAGAGUUUAACGCAGAAUUAACAACAAACAACUUCAUAAUAUAAUGUAAUUGUCUUAAUACAAGAGUUAAUAAUUUCAUAGUUUUGGAGCACUAACUUGACACAAAAGGAAGAUACAAAUUACAACCAAAAGGCAGGUUCGGAAGGUUCAACAAAAGUAACCUGCUAUCAAGCUAUAAGCCUGAAAAGGAUAAAUAAUGAGAGGGUGAGUUCAACAACUCAGUGAGUAGAUAACAUUCAAUAUACACAUACGAGGUAAUAUAACAAUGAGAAAUAUAUAUACAAGUAUGGCUUUAGUUCUUAUACGAAGGUUUAUCAAAUAGGCCAUAACAAGAAUAUCAUAUGGUAAAACUCGUCAGAAAAUCAAAAUGCAAUGAGCAUGAGGCUCCGUACUGUGGAUGAUCAGUCCACACAGGUUGGUGACUCCCCCGACCAACUAGGGUUCAGAUACGAUGUGCACAAAGACUAACACUACCCUGUUAGCAUGGGUAUUCUGACUGACAUACCAUAGGUUCAUAAUCAUAAUCAAACAAACAUAUUCAUAUCUCAAAGCUCAACUCAUGACAUCCAUCAAAUGAGGAGCUAUCAAUUCAGAAGUCAAAUCAUAUUGGUUCAUAUCAAGAAAUCAGAUUCAAUAAUUGAUCAUGCUUUAUCAUAUCAAGGAUAAUAAUCAGCAUAUAUAUUAUCAAGAAGCAUGAUCCAAUUCAUAUUAACAAAUCAAAUAUUUAUAAUAUUUCUCAUGCAUAUGGAAAAUUAUCCACUCACCUGACUCAAAAGCAAACAACACACAAGCUGAAACCGAAGGAAAUUCUACUGACGUCCUGCCGGUAGAAUAUCAGGAUUAUCUGAAUACAAAGGAGACAUAUUCAAAAACGACUCGAAAGAACAUUUAAUCUAUUUAAUACACUUAACUAAGGGUGUAUUCCGUAACCCUAUAUACUAACUAGUCAAUUUUCUUAAAAACCCAAAAUCUAACGGUUUUCCCGAAAUCUAAUCCAUAAUAAAAACAACUAAUAAAAUUGGUAAUAAUUCACUAAAUAACCCUUAAUUAUUCAUCAAACUAAUCUGCAAAAGCUAAUAUUACAGCUAGGGACUAAUCUGGAAUUUUUCUAUAUUUUUAGGGCCAAAUUGUAACUUUUAUCAAAUGGAGGACCAAACUGAAAUUUGUCAUAAAUCCAUGAAUAUACUGAAAUUCUGACCUUAAUUAAUCCUCAAUUCUGUCCAGGAUGUAUCAUUAUGCUUUAGGGAUCAUUCUGGAGUUUUACUAAAUUUUUAGGAUCAAAUCGUACUUUUUGUCAAAUUGGAGGACUAAAUUGAAAGUGUUAAAUUCUCUUAUCUAUACAGUAAUUAUGUCCAUAAUUCAUAUGUUAUUCUGUUCAGAAUCUCGGAAUAUGCUCCAGGGACCAAUUUGUAAUUUUCCAAAGUUCGGGGACUAAACUGUAAUUUUCGGAAAUUGAGGGACCAAAUUGAAUUUUCGUCAUCUUCAACCUCCAGUCCAGAUUUUAACAGAAACCCCACUGUUCUCCCCUGAUUUCUAACUCAAUUUUCACCAUUUACACAAUUCUAUAACUCAAAAUCAUCAUAAUCUUCCAUAAUCAACUAAAUCAUCAAUUAAACACAACAAUCAACCCCUAACCUUCAAUUUAAUUCAUCAAUUUAAAUCAAACACAAAUUCUCAAAACCCUAACAUUCAUAAAAACUGAAAUUAAAAACUUAAUUAACAUAUUAUACACAUUAAACAACCUAAAUCUUACCUUUUUCACUUAUUUCCUCCAAUUCUCUUCCUUUUUCCCCUUAUUUUCCCCUAUUUUCUCUUCUUCUUCUUUCCUUUCUCACUUCUGCCGAUUCUCUUC
rnacentral:lncRNA from 1 species